CCUACGGGGGGCAGCAGUGAGGAAUAUUGGUCAAUGGCCGAGAGGCUGAACCAGCCAAGUCGCGUGAGGGAAGACGGCCCUACGGGUUGUAAACCUCUUUUGUCGGGGGGCAAAGAGAGUCACGUGUGACUCAUUGCGAGUACCCGAUGAAAAAGCAUCGGCUAACUCCGUGCCAGCAGCCGCGGUAAUACGGAGGAUGCGAGCGUUAUCCGGAUUUAUUGGGUUUAAAGGGUGCGCAGGCGGAGGUGCAAGUCAGCGGUAAAAUUGCGGGGCUCAACCCCGUACUGCCGUUGAAACUGGAGCCCUUGAGUGCGCGAGAAGUAGGCGGAAUGCGUGGUGUAGCGGUGAAAUGCAUAGAUAUCACGCAGAACUCCGAUUGCGAAGGCAGCAUACCGGCGCGCAACUGACGCUCAUGCACGAAAGCGUGGGUAUCGAACAGGAUUAGAUACCCUUGUAGUC
rnacentral:rRNA from 1 species